UGGGUGAAAAUUUGAGUUUAGGGGGUGCUUUUGAAAGAAAAAUUAGAAACAGGGGGUCAAAGUACAAAAAAAAUUCGAACGCGUGGGACGGCCUAGUCAGCAGCCCCGACGAAUCGGAACAUACCACGUGUCAAGACACGCUAACGUCGACACCACAUGAGAGGCCAUGUGAGCGAUCCGCAUGCCUAGCGAUCCGACGACCCAGGUUCGAUUCCACGCACGUGAACAACUCAAAUUCAUUCCUUCGUUAAGCACGAUCAGACGGACGAGAUCAAUCGCGAUGAACAAUUCAUAUUCAUUUCUUACUUAGGCACGAUCGGACGGACGAGAUCAAUCGCAGUGAACGGCCUAGAUCGAC
rnacentral:lncRNA from 1 species